CUAACACAUGCAAGUCGAACGGUAACAGGAAGAAGCUUGCUUCUUUGCUGACGAGUGGCGGACGGGUGAGUAAUGUCUGGGAAACUGCCUGAUGGAGGGGGAUAACUACUGGAAACGGUAGCUAAUACCGCAUAACGUCGCAAGACCAAAGAGGGGGACCUUCGGGCCUCUUGCCAUCGGAUGUGCCCAGAUGGGAUUAGCUAGUAGGUGGGGUAACGGCUCACCUAGGCGACGAUCCCUAGCUGGUCUGAGAGGAUGACCAGCCACACUGGAACUGAGACACGGUCCAGACUCCUACGGGAGGCAGCAGUGGGGAAUAUUGCACAAUGGGCGCAAGCCUGAUGCAGCCAUGCCGCGUGUAUGAAGAAGGCCUUCGGGUUGUAAAGUACUUUCAGCGGGGAGGAAGGGAGUAAAGUUAAUACCUUUGCUCAUUGACGUUACCCGCAGAAGAAGCACCGGCUAACUCCGUGCCAGCAGCCGCGGUAAUACGGAGGGUGCAAGCGUUAAUCGGAAUUACUGGGCGUAAAGCGCACGCAGGCGGUUUGUUAAGUCAGAUGUGAAAUCCCCGGGCUCAACCUGGGAACUGCAUCUGAUACUGGCAAGCUUGAGUCUCGUAGAGGGGGGUAGAAUUCCAGGUGUAGCGGUGAAAU
rnacentral:rRNA from 1 species